UAAAAGGACCUUGGUUUCUUUUCUCUAGAUUUUUUUAAAACAAAAAAAUUUAUAAAAUUGUGAUCGAAUCAUUACUUAAAUUUUAAUUUAGUGAAAAUCUGGCAACAUGUAAUUGCAAUUUUAUGUUUAAAAUGGCCCAAUAUUAAAAUUCCAAAUGGCUUAAGUUAUAAUUGUUCCUUUCUAAUCAGCUGUGGCACUGCUAUAUUUACAUGAGGGCUGGUUUAUAUAAAGGAAAGCCCCCCACCCCACAACAUAAUGGUAAAAGACAAUAGUCCAGGCUUCUUUGAAUUUUUCUGUUCAUCAAGAACUUACUGAGAUCUUCAUUACUGGAUGAGAAGAAUGACGGUGGAAGAAUCAACACAUGAGUUUUCUAAAACAUGUUGGAAACUACUCAGUGCUGGAACAUUUCAAGAUGGUGGAUAAACACCAGGGACGAUAGUGUUCAGCAGGUAAAGUGCUGCUGACCAAGUCCAACUGAUCAACUUCAUAUGAGUUGCUGAAUGUGAGUAUGAAUAGCCAUUUAUUUUGAAA
rnacentral:lncRNA from 1 species